rnacentral:rRNA from 1 species
AACGAACGCUGGCGGCAGGCUUAACACAUGCAAGUCGAGCGCCCCGCAAGGGGAGCGGCAGACGGGUGAGUAACGCGUGGGAAUCUACCCAUCUCUACGGAAUAACGCAUGGAAACGUGUGCUAAUACCGUAUACGUCCUUCGGGAGAAAGAUUUAUCGGAGAUGGAUGAGCCCGCGUUGGAUUAGCUAGUUGGUGGGGUAAAGGCCUACCAAGGCGACGCUUCAUAGCUGGUCGGAGAGGAUGAUCAGCCACACUGGGACUGAGACACGGCCCAGACUCCUACGGGAGGCAGCAGUGGGGAAUAUUGGACAAUGGGCGCAAGCCUGAUCCAGCCAUGCCGCGUGAGUGAUGAAGGCCCUAGGGUUGUAAAGCUCUUUCACCGGUGAAGAUAAUGACGGUAACCGGAGAAGAAGCCCCGGCUAACUUCGUGCCAGCAGCCGCAGUAAUAC